UGGCUGUUUCUAUUAUAGCCACCAGUGUUUUGAUCCAGACCUUUUACAUGACAUAGAGAGAUUGACUUCAGCUUUUUACCCACAUCACCGCCUUCCCUCUGAAAAACCCCUUUUUGAUUCUCAGGAUCACAGGCAGAAGAGACUAGAGAGUACCGGUGACCGGUCACCAUCACCAAGCCGCCCCGCCAACGUAGAUAGAAAGAGAAGAGACGGUCAGAGAGAAAAAGAACCCGUCCAACCCUCCAUCUCAAUCCUUCUUCGUGGUUUAUGGUGGCUAUCGGCAACGAUGGCCAGGGUUCCGGCGCACAAUGGUGGUCUUUUCUGGUACAACAGAUGACCUGGGUUUUCUUUUAUCGAUAGGGUGGCUAUCGGAGACGAUGGCCAGGGUUCCGGCAAUCCGGCGCACAACGGUGGUCUUUCCCGGUACAGCAGAUGACCUGGGUUUUCUUUCAUCGACAAGAUGGUUGGAGUCGAUUCCGGUAGGUACCCAACUCCGAUUUGCUUCUGUAGAUCGUAUACAUGCAACAUCUUUUUUUUGUAGGCCAACUUAGAUCUGGAUCUCAACCCACCGUCAGUUCAUCAUAUGGAUUCCUAGCUUGAAACCACCACCAUUUAUCUAGCUUGCAAUCACCACGACCAUAGCAGUCUAACAGGAGGAUAGAAAAUGACAGAAACACUUACUCCAUGGAACUCUCCAUGCAUGAUUCUUUCGUUGUUGGAUGCAGCAUGGUUUGUUAUAACUUAUAACUAUCUUUUUGUUGUCAGUAUUUGUCUUCAGAGUAUUCACAACUACCCAAUUAUUGUUGUUUUUAUGACAUGGGAGCAAGAGUGACUGUGGCUUGAAUGUGUUGUCAGUUACAACUACUUGUGAGGUUCAUUGAUUGUUUGGUGUGGUUUUUGUUUAUUUUCCAAAACACAAUAGCAAACACCUUGUGUGCAAGUAUAUCAUACAGACUUCAUAACUAGGUGCGAUUCAUGAGGUUAAAGGCAAUGGCAGCAGAGCCAACUCUUGCGGCACGAUUAAGAUUUUGUCGCGAACCCUAACAGCGAUGGUGGUGGCGUUUACACAAGCUUGAACGGUGGCGGCGACCACCACAACGGUUAUUUUCUCUACUGCCGCACGGUUAUUUAAAUUGAUUGAAUUCUUCUUCUCUUGACAGGACUAGCUGGAAGGACUAAAUUCAAGCAUAUAACUGGAAGUUUUUAAGAAUGCUAGAGUCAGUCUUCGCUCGACCAAUAGCUGUAGACAAGCAAUACCAGAGUACAAUUCCCGAUAAAAUAAAUAUCGUGUGUACGGACGUGGAAGGAGUUUACUAUCGAAAUACUCAUAUCCUUGCAGCGUAAGUGUCGUUCAUGCGGGAACAGAGGCAAAUCCCACCUAAAGGGGAUUAACAUAUUGGUUCCAAAGCAAAAAAAAAAGUGAAAAAGGCAUCAUUAAAGUGAGAUUCGAUGUUACUGCUCAAAGAUUGGUUUGUCCCUCUUGAUUCUACUUUGAAUAAAACCGGUAAUGGACCGCUAUUGCAACAAAUCAGAACCGAUGCAAACCGGAUUCCCGCCGACACCGCAUCUCUGGGUUUUCUUCCCGGCGCCAAUUCUUGGUUCACUAGGCUUGCCACCGUACUACCACUAAAGCCGGAGCUUUCACAAAUGACCAUUAGUAUGCUAUAUUGAAACGUGUAAUGCAGCUACACAAUUUAUGUCUUGCAACGAAAAGUAUGAUUGUAACAAAAGUAGUUGCGAAUCCGCGUUGUCUAGCAAAGUUUAUAGAAUUUGAUUUAGCGCGCCGCAACGCGCGUGGGGUUAAAACCUAGUUUGAAAUAAAAAAAGGUGUUUUCAGUUUUCA